UGGUUGACCUCGGAUCAGGUAGGGAUACCCGCUGAACUUAAGCAUAUCAAUAAGCGGAGGA
rnacentral:rRNA from 1 species